GAUGAACGCUGGCUACAGGCUUAACACAUGCAAGUCGAGGGGAAACGACGGGGAAGCUUGCUUCCCCGGGAGUCGACCGGCGCACGGGUGAGUAACGCGUAUCCAACCUGCCUCUGACUGAGGGAUAACCCGUCGAAAGUCGGCCUAAUACCUCAUGGCAUCGUCUGCGGGCAUCCAACGACGAUUAAAGAUUUCAUCGGUCAGGGAUGGGGAUGCGUCUGAUUAGCUAGUUGGCGGGGUAACGGCCCACCAAGGCGACGAUCAGUAGGGGUUCUGAGAGGAAGGUCCCCCACAUUGGAACUGAGACACGGUCCAAACUCCUACGGGAGACAGCAGUGACGAAUAUUGGUCAAUGGGCGAGAGCCUGAACCAGCCAAGUAGCGUGCAGGAUGACGGCCCUAUGGGUUGUAAACUGCUUUUAUGCGGGGAUAAAGUGAGGGACGUGUCCUUCAUUGCAGGUACCGCAUGAAUAAGGACCGGCUAAUUCCGUG
rnacentral:rRNA from 1 species